rnacentral:rRNA from 1 species
CGUCAAACCAUCUUAGUUUGGGGUGGGUGAGGCUGCCUUUUAAUGGGGUAUUCGAGCCUGCCUUAGACAAGGAGGGUUAAGUCGUAACAAGGUAUCUGUAGGGGAACCUGCAGAUGGAUCACCUCCU